GAUGAAUGCUGGCGGCGUGCCUAACACAUGCAAGUCGAGCGGUAACAGGUCUAGUUUACUAGAUGCUGACGAGCGGCGGACGGCUGAGCAACGCGUAGGAACGUGCCCCAAAGUGAGGAAUAACUGCCCGAAAGGGUAGCUAAUGCCGCAUAUGAUCUUCGGAUUAAAGUCUUCGGACGCUUUGGGAGCGGCCUGCGUUAGAUUAGGUAGUUGGUAGGGUAAUGGCCUACCAAGCCGACGAUCUAUAGCUGGUCUGAGAGGAUGAUCAGCCAGACUGGGACGUGAGACACGGCCCAGACUCCUACGGGAGGCAGCAGUGAGGAAUCUUCCACAAUGGGCGAAAGCCUGAUGGAGCAACGCCGCGUGCAGGAUGAA
rnacentral:rRNA from 1 species